rnacentral:rRNA from 1 species
AGUUGGUGAGGUAAAGGCUUACCAAGGCGACGAUCUGUAGCGGGUCUGAGAGGAUGAUCCGCCACACUGGAACUGAGACACGGUCCAGACUCCUACGGGAGGCAGCAGUGGGGAAUUUUGGACAAUGGGGGCAACCCUGAUCCAGCCAUGCCGCGUGAGUGAAGAAGGCCUUCGGGUUGUAAAGCUCUUUCGGCCGGGAAGAAAUCGCAUGGGCCAAUACCCUGUGUGGAUGACGGUACCGGAAUAAGAAGCACCGGCUAACUACGUGCCAGCAGCCGCGGUAAUACGUAGGGUGCGAGCGUUAAUCGGAAUUACUGGGCGUAAAGCGUGCGCAGGCGGUCUUGUAAGACAGGCGUGAAAUCCCCGGGCUUAACCUGGGAACUGCGUUUGGGACUGCAAGGCUAGAGUACGGCAGAGGGGGGUGGAAUUCCACGUGUAGCAGUGAAAUGCGUAGAGAUGUGGAGGAACACCAAUGGCGAAGGCAGCCCCCUGAGUCGAUACUGACGCUCAUGCACGAAAGCGUGGGUAGCAAACAGGAUUAGAUACCCUGGUAGUCCACGCCCUAAACUAUGUCAACUAGGUGUUGGGUGGGUAAAACCAUUUAGUACCGUAGCUAACGCGUGAAGUUGACCGCCUGGGGAGUACGGCCGCAAGGUUAAAACUCAAAGGAAUUGACGGGGACCCGCACAAGCGGUGGAUGAUGUGGAUUAAUUCGAUGCAACGCGAAAAACCUUACCUACCCUUGACAUGCCAGGAACUUGCCAGAGAUGGCUUGGUGCCCGAAAGGGAGCCUGGACACAGGUGCUGCAUGGCUGUCGUCAGCUCGUGUCGUGAGAUGUUGGGUUAAGUCCCGCAACGAGCGCAACCCUUGUCGUUAAUUGCCAUCAUUUAGUUGGGCACUUUAACGAGACUGCCGGUGACAAACCGGAGGAAGGUGGGGAUGACGUCAAGUCCUCAUGGCCCUUAUGGGUAGGGCUUCACACGUCAUACAAUGGUCGGUACAAAGGGUUGCCAAGCCGCGAGGCGGAGCCAAUCCCAGAAAGCCGAUCGUAGUCCGGAUUGCAGGCUGCAACUCGCCUGCAUGAAGUCGGAAUCGCUAGUAAUCGUGGAUCAGCAUGUCACGGUGAAUACGUUCCCGGGUCUUGUACACACCGCCCGUCACACCAUGGGAGCGGGUUCCGCCAGAAGUAGGUAGCCUAACCGCAAGGGGGGCGCUUACCACGGCGGGGUUCGUGACUGGGGUGAAGUCGUAACAAGGUAGCCGUAGGGGAACCUGCGGCUG